rnacentral:rRNA from 1 species
UACGGGGGGGGCAAGCGUUGUUCGGAAUUACUGGGCGUAAAGGGCGUGUAGGCGGCCAACUAAGUCCGACGUGAAAUCCCCAGGCUUAACCUGGGAACUGCGUCGGAUACUGGAUGGCUUGAAUCCGGGAGAGGGAUGCAGAAUUCCAGGUGUAGCGGUGAAAUGCGUAGAUAUCCGGAGGAACACCAGUGGCGAAGGCGGCCUUCUGGGAUGAUCCUGACGCUCAGACACGAAAGCUAGGGGAGCGAACGGG